GGGUUGAAAUUUUGCAGGGUUGUUGAAAUCAAAUUUAGGGACUUUACUGACGGGACUCUGGGCUGGCUGCUCUGUUCACUCGUCAGCGCAAGUGGCGUGACCAUGUAAUUGGGGCACGGGGCCGGCGCGGCGCGCUGCGGGCUUGCAGAAUUUUGUUUGUUUGUUUGGCCGCGCGCUGGCGCAGCCACGGGCCGCAGUUACUGGGGCGCGCUGUCGUAACAAGCCGCGCGGUGUGGCCUGCACAUUGGGGUAGAGGGGGGGUAGUCUUCCCAGAUGUUCUAGUUAGUUGUUUAGUAAAUUUGACUUCAAUAACGAGCUUUUGUUAUGGUAGGCGCGGCAGGGCGCGCGAAUUUAAGCGCAAGUGAGUGGUGACUCGGGGCUCACUCAGGCGGAGGCUAUGCGUCUCACCUGUGGUCACGAGUUGUUAGUUCGUUCGUGAUGUAGGAAUUCAAGCUUUCGGGCGGAAGCUAUGGUCGACGCCAGAGGCCACGAGUCGUUUAAUUUAAGUUAGGUCAUAAUGUAGUCGUCAAGCUUUCGGGCGGAGGCUAUGGCCCUCGUCAGGGGUCACGCGUCAUAGUUUUUAAAAUGUAAUGUUCGUUCGGGAUUUCAAGGGCAGGAGAGGCCCCUACGUUAUUUUUUUAAAGUAAUCGAUCAAGAAAGGCUUUUCGGAAAAUGUGAGUAUGGACUUAUCUUUGUUUUAAUUUUAAGUAUUAAUUAUGAUUUGAGGUAUUCGGAAGGACUAGGGAAGUGUUUAGUGAAGUUCUCUCAUUCUCUCUCUUGUAAGGUCGUUCAAUCGUUAAGGAAGUAAAGAGAUUAUUGUUUUAAAUUGUAAUCCCGCUAUUUAAAUGUUCUUUAAAAUGAUGUUGAGUAUUUGACUUUAAGAAUAAAAUAAUUUUAAUUAAGUAUUAUGUUAUUUUGCAAAAUCUCCUUAGUUCAGCUCUCACCAGACAUCCUGUACGGGAUGACGAACCUAUGAUCCUAGGUACAGUAAAGUAUUUUAUGAAGUUAAGACUAGUUGAUGCCAAGCGAGUUGUUUCUAUGUAAAGAGCUACGAUUCUCUCCCCUCUCCGAAAGUGGAUCGUGACAGAAAUGGUGGAGGCGCCGGGUAGGUUCUAUUUCUGGAGAGAGAGAGGUAGAUUUUUAUGUUUAUUAUUAAGUUAGUUUCAGCUUCUGAUAGCAGGUUAUUAAGAGUUUACUUGAGGAGAGGAUUACGGAAUUUAAUCUAAGUGGAGGAAGUCUUUGAGAUUUUUUUUUGACGUAACAGAUGAUUAUUUGAGUAUACUUGUAAGGAUAAAGUUUAUAGUGAUAAGUUGUUUUAAGUCGUUGAGUUUAUCAGGGAUUUUUACGUGAGGAGAAUACGUUAUAAUUUAAAUGAUUAAUAGAGAUAAUGCAAGUGGUUUAAUUUAAUUGAAAUUAAUUUUAAGAUUGUAGGUUAAGAGAAUUAUAAUUUAAAAUAAAGUUUUUUGUCGUAAAUAGGAAUUAUUUUCAAGAGAAGUUUGUUUUGUUUUCGUGCGCGUAGGAGACGAGACGUACGAAUUAAAUCAGUCGAGGGAAGGAUAAACGUUAGAAAGGAAUUAAAGAGAAAACGAGAGUUUAUGUAAAAGAGAGUUAUAGAAUUUAUAGUGAUGUUUUGUUUUAAUUAGAAAAAUGUUGAGAGUUGUUUCAGAACGACACGUCAGUGGACGUGGCAGAAUGAACACGUGACGGGGAGGUGCUGAGACCUAGCGGAGAACGGAGGAACCGCAAGCGAGGGUUGGCGCACCUGAUGGAAUUCGGUGACGUCACGAGCACGUACAGAGACGUGGACGGCCGUGACCUUGUUUUGAUCAGCUGUACGGUAACUUAGCGAUAAGAAAAUUGACUAUUGGUUAAAUAAAUUUAAAUUUAAGUGUGUUUUAGAAGAAGAGGAACUUUCAGUAUAUUCCUUAAGAUGAGCUGAGCAGCAGUCCAGUUUACAAGAUGACAAGAGUUCGAGAGACAAGAUACAAGAUCACUGAAACAAGAGCCAAGACUGAAGAUUCAAGAGAAGAGAAAGCUGGCAGCCAUGGACUUACAAGUGGAGAUUAAUAAGGUCAUGUAAAGUUUUAUUUUUUUUUAUGGAAGACAGUAACUGGAGUUUUUUUUUGUUAUAAACAUUAUUUACAGAACUUUUUAUGUUAUAGUAAUGUAAUGGAACUAGUGAGUUGUGGUAGCUGUCAAAAAGAACUAAUACCUUAAGUUUAAUUUUUAAAGUUAAUUUUCUUAAUUUACAGAGGGAUUAGUAGUUUUUUUUAAACCUUAUUUAGGUUGGAAUUUAAAUACAAUAGCUUAUUAUAAAUGUGUACGAACAGUUCAAGUUCACAGUACUGAUAGGUAGGUCAGAUGAUCUUAUUGAUUUUGAUGAUUUGUUGUUUUGAGUUGAUUUUUAAGUGUUGUGAAUUAGACAAUGAAAUAGUUCUGAAAACUUAAAUUAUUUCAAGCUAAGAAAUAGUAAAGUUAAUUGUAACUCAAAGGACACCAGAAUUUAAUUUUUUUUUGAAUUAGUAAUGUUUGAAAAUUUUAUACUUUACAAGAAAGGUUAUAAACAAACAGAUCGGAUGGAACAAGGAUGCAGUAAAUCACAAUUUCAUUUAGAAUUAUUGAUUAGCUUUUGAGGUUAUGAAGUAAAAGUAAUUAUAGUUUAAAAGUUUGAAUAAAAAAAAAUGUUUUUUUUUUAUUUGUUUGAAAUAGAAAGUUUAAAAGUUAAUUAGUCAUGAUCUAGGUGGGUGAUGGGGUGGGAAUUGGCCACUCUUUUUCCCUAUAACCUCCCUAACAUGGCCUUCUAUUACAACUAACAGAAAUAAAGAAGAAGAAAAAUGAAGAAUUAUUAGUUAGAAUGUUUCUUUCAUGAAGAUACCUGAUGAACUUUUACUGUUUGGAAGAAUAGAAGCAAGGUUAGUCAGAUAUUUUUACUCAGAAGAAGAAGAAGAUAAAGCAGUUUUAUGACUCGACAAGCCAGAGAUUGGUGUUUCCCCUCUGCGCUUCUAUUGACUACGUUGUUUACUCUCAUGGGAUAGCUGGUUCGGCACCAUGGAGAGAGAUUGGUGGGCAUUGUGGUUGCCCCCAGAAGAAAAGAAGAGUAGAAGAGGUUAUGGGUGGGUCAUGUGAACUGACCUUCAACCCAGUUACUUCGUGGGGACUAUUUGCUGUAUAGAGAAGAUCAAGACUCAAGAGUUAGGGAAAAUCAUUGGAGGUCAUGUUUCCCUUCCUUAAGUUUUUCCUAUCAAAUUAUUUGCCUGAUUAGAUUAUGCUAAGGGUGGGAUACUUUAUGUUAGCAGUUGAAUUAAUUAAUUUUAUUUUUUUGUGUGUUUGCAUCCUUGCCCAUCGAUUGCAGUUUAGUAGUUAGUUUUGUAUUUGUCAGGCGUGAUGGUAAUGCCUGUUGAUGAUGUUUCAGAAUUGUAAUCUGUUCGUGAUGAGGAUGGCACAACUCCGAAGCAGAUGUGGGGAGAAGUUGUGAGCUGCCCUGGAAGCCAGUCCAGUAGCUGUUGGAGUUGAGUGGUGUUUGCUGAUGGCCAGCCCAGGGAGCUACUCUUCUCGACAACACUGACUUCGAGGAGUUGCACCAACCUUCACGAGAUAAGAGUUUAAUUAAUUGAAACACUGUAAGGACACUUAAUUUUUUUUGAAGAACGAAAG